GUGCCUAUAGCUUAGUGGUAAAGCACCGCUCUGUGGCAGCGGUAACGAGGGUUCGAUCCCCUCUAGGCACCCCA
rnacentral:tRNA from 6 species